CUAGUCUCCCAGUGUCCCCAUGUCUCCCAGUGUCCCUGGUGUCUCAAGGGUCCCCUAGUGUCAUGGGGACACUGGGAGACAUGGGGACACUGGGAGACAU